rnacentral:rRNA from 1 species
ACUACGGGAGGCAGCAGUGGGGAAUAUUGCACAAUGGGGGGAACCCUGAUGCAGCGACGCCGCGUGGGUGAGGAAGGACUUCGGUAUGUAAAGCCCUAUCAGCAGGGAAGAAAAUGACGGUACCUGACGAAGAAGCCCCGGCUAACUACGGGCCAGCAGCCGCGGGAAAACGGAGGGGGCAAGCUUUAUCCGGAUUUACUGGGUGGAAAGGGAGCGUAGGCGGCGUGCCAAGUCUGGUGGGAAAGGCCGGGGCUCAACCCCGGGACUGCAUUGGAAACUGGCAUGCUGGAGUGCCGGAGGGGCAAGCGGAAUUCCUAGUGUAGCGGUGAACUGCGUCGAUAUUAGGAGGACCACCGGUGGCGAAGGCGGCUUGCUGGACGGUAACUGACGUUGAGGCUCGAAAGCGUGGGGAGCAAACAGGAUUAGAUACCCCAGUAGUC